rnacentral:rRNA from 1 species
ACGUAGGGGGCGAGCGUUGUCCGGAUUUAUUGGGCGUAAAGGGAGCGCAGGUGGCUAAGUUCGUCGAUAGUGUAAGCUCCAGGCUCAACUUGGAGAGGUCUAUCGAUACUGCUUGGCUUGAGGGCGGUAGAGGAGCACGGAAUUCCAGGUGUAGUGGUGAAAUGCGUAGAUAUCUGGAGGAACACCAGUGGCGAAAGCGGUGCUCUGGGCCGUCCCUGACACUCAGGCUCGAAAGCGUGGGGAGCGAACAGG